CUGGCUGGAAGCGGACUAGGGCUCGCUGCGCUCCAGGCUAAGGGACACCAAAGGCUGCGCGUGGAAGCCCGCUCGGGACGGCCCUGUGGAUAUUAAGGAGCAAACACAUUUGAUGUCAUCCACAUGCUUGAGUAAUUGUGUUUGCAAAGGGCUCCUUAGGCGUGUUUGCAGGAUUUUGAAGAAGUUGAUUUGGAGGGCAGUUUUACCCUGUGCCUAGGAGCCGGACAUGACGGCCGCUUCUGAGAGCCACACGGAGCCGGGACAGGCAGGGAGCCUGCCUGAGCUAUGCUACUUUGGGUGACGCCCACUGCUAACACUUCAGGUACAACAAUGGAAAAGUCAGACAGGGUGGAUGGCCCAUCAGCGAGGACAAUGGACUGUGAAGAGGCUUGGCCGGAGCCGCUGACUCAUGGAUGAUGUGAUACUACAGUCAGGUGGUCUUGUCACCUGAUACUAAACAUUACCUGGGACUUCUUGUAACUUUCCACUGGAAGGGCUGGGGGGUCAAGUUUGGGAAACAAAGAAUUCCUACCCUAUGUAAAUCCUAUUUAAGGGUGAGAAGGAAAGCAAACGUGACUCAUCCUCUCCAUGGCCUGUCUGCCCAAGAAGAAAGACUGCUAAAAACACCUGAAGGGAAGGCAGCGGGGAAGUCCAGUCUUAAAAGAAAUAUAACUGGAACUCGAAACACAGAAACUUUUCAACCUGCCUAAAAUAACAUUUAGGAUGAGAAUUUACAUUUUAUAACCUAUUUCUUCGGUAUUUUGAUCUUAGCUUGCAUUUUUGAUUUAUUUCUUCAGCAAUCUGCUUUGUUCUGUCUGUUGUCUCUUAUAUUCACUUAAAAUUCACCUUUUGUAGUUAAUAAACUUAUUUCUUGUUUAUACUA